rnacentral:rRNA from 1 species
UCCGUAGGGGGCGAGCGUUGUCCGGAUUUAUUGGGCGGAAAGAGCUCGUAGGCGGUUACGCACGUCGGGUGGGAAAUCUCCAGGCUCAACCUGGAGCCUUCGCCCGAUACUGCGUUGACUCGAGUCCGGUAGGGGAGUGUGGAAUUCCCGGUGUAGCGGUGAAAUGCGCAGAUAUCAGGAAGAACACCAAUGGCGAAGGCGGCGUUCUGGACUGCAACUGACACUGAAAAACGAAAGCCAGGGGAGCAAACGGG